UAUCGAGCUUUAAAGAAUUUAGUAGAUUUACCAUAUAUUAAUAAAAAAGUAAAGCAACUAAAUAUUUUGGUUGGGGCGACUGAGGAACAAACAAAGCUUCCUUUAUGCUAAUUAAAACUUACAAGUAUUGAUCCAAUUUAUUUGAUUAAAGAAAUUAGUUACCGUAGGGAUAACAGCGC
rnacentral:rRNA from 1 species